AUGAACGCUGGCGGCGUGCCUCAUACAUGCAAGUCGAGCGAACAGACGAGGAGCUUGCUCCUCUGACGUUAGCGGCGGACGGGUGAGUAACACGUGGAUAACCUACCUAUAAGACUGGGAUAACUUCGGGAAACCGGAGCUAAUACCGGAUAAUAUAUUGAACCGCAUGGUUCAAUAGUGAAAGACGGUUUUGCUGUCACUUAUAGAUGGAUCCGCGCCGCAUUAGCUAGUUGGUAAGGUAACGGCUUACCAAGGUAACGAUGCGUAGCCGACCUGAGAGGGUGAUCGGCCACACUGGAACUGAGACACGGUCCAGACUCCUACGGGAGGCAGCAGUAGGGAAUCUUCCGCAAUGGGCGAAAGCCUGACGGAGCAACGCCGCGUGAGUGAUGAAGGUCUUCGGAUCGUAAAACUCUGUUAUUAGGGAAGAACAAAUGUGUAAGUAACUAUGCACGUCUUGACGGUACCUAAUCAGAAAGCCACGGCUAACUACGUG
rnacentral:rRNA from 1 species